rnacentral:rRNA from 1 species
CACGUAGGGUGCGAGCGUUGUCCGGAAUUAUUGGGCGUAAAGAGCUCGUAGGCGGUUUGUCGCGUCGUCUGUGAAAACCCAUCGCUCAACGAUGGGCCGGCAGGCGAUACGGGCAGACUUGAGUACUGCAGGGGAGACUGGAAUUCCUGGUGUAGCGGUGAAAUGCGCAGAUAUCAGGAGGAACACCGGUGGCGAAGGCGGGUCUCUGGGCAGUAACUGACGCUGAGGAACGAAAGCGUGGGUAGCAAACAGG